rnacentral:misc_RNA from 1 species
AUAUCCUUCAAACUUUCUUUGGUUUCUCAACCAAAGGGAGGCUUGGACUUUGGGGGUUUUUCAUUGCUGGCCUCACUUGCUUGAAGCCAGCUCCUCCUAAAUGGAUUAGUGGGGUCUACUUUGCAAAUCCUCGACGUGAUAAGAUGUUUCUACGUCUUGGGUUUUGCACUGUUGCCCUGCUUCUAAUCGUCUUGCUCAUGAA